rnacentral:rRNA from 1 species
GACGAACGCUGGCGGCGUGCCUAAUACAUGCAAGUCGACCUUCGUGGCGAACGGGUGAGUAACACGUGGGUAACCUGCCCCUCAGAAGGGGAUAACACUUGUAAACAGGUGCUAAUACCGUAUCCUGCUGGAUGGACCCGCGGUGCAUUAGCUAGUUGGUGAGGUAACGGCGCACCAAGGCCACGAUGCAUAGCCGACCGGAGAGGGGGAUCGGCCACAUUGGGACUGAGACACGGCCCAAACUCCUACGGGAGGCAGCAGUAGGGAAGCUUCGGCAAUGGACGAAAGGCUGACCGAGCAACGCCGCGUGAGUGAAGAAGGUUGGCGGAUCGUAAAGCGCUGUUGUUAGAGAAGCGGUAUCUAACCAGAAAGCCACGGCUAACUACGUGCCAGCCGCCGCGGUAAUAC